rnacentral:rRNA from 1 species
AGGCUUAACACAUGCAAGUCGAACGGGCGUAGCAAUACGUCAGUGGCAGACGGGUGAGUAACACGUGGGAACGUACCUUUUGGUUCGGAACAACUGAGGGAAACUUCAGCUAAUACCGGAUAAGCCCUUACGGGGAAAGAUUUAUCGCCGAAAGAUCGGCCCGCGUCUGAUUAGCUAGUUGGUGAGGUAAUGGCUCACCAAGGCGACGAUCAGUAGCUGGUCUGAGAGGAUGAUCAGCCACAUUGGGACUGAGACACGGCCCAA